GGGGGGUGAAUUGGGUUUUACACUAAUUUUUCAAUUAAAACAUUUGUGGAUAACUAAUUAAUUCUUUUUGCAAGUUAAUUAAUUAGAUGCUGCGUGCAGUGAAUGAAAAGAAAGUGCAAAUAACAAGACAAUCACAAACACAAGGAUUUUAUAGUGGUUCGGAGCUAACCCUUGCUCCUACGUCCACUCCCCAAGUCUCACUUGGGAAUUCACUAUAACCCCUCGGAUUACAG
rnacentral:lncRNA from 1 species